AAGAAAUUCAUUAAUCACCAGCUUUGAACUGAAUACCCAUUUGGAGAGAGCACAUGUGUUUCUGGUAGUGAUUUUUAUAAACACCAAGAUGCCUUAACUCCCUCCCAUGUUUUGGAAUCAGUUAUUCCUUUCAAAACUCUCCCCUGGAAAGAAAGCCCCAGGGGCCCGCGGCCCUGCCUGCUCCCUGUGCACCAGCCUUGGGCUGUGCUCAGGAUCAGCCUUCCCGGUCCUGCGGACAGCAGGGCACCGGCUCGCAUGCAGUGAGGUGUUCUCUGCUCACUCAGCAGCUCAGCCUUUCCCACAGCUGCUUUGUGACGCUUCCAGGAGGGUACAGGAAAGCUGAAUUGCCAACAGCUGUGAGGCCACUGGCUCUAGAAUAAUGAAUCUCCUAUCAAUUCCGGAGUGAGUCCUGGAGAGUAGAGAUUCUAGGAGCAGGGCGGGGUUCUCUUUCAAACACGUUUUUCAAGCUGUUGGGAGGUAACAUAUUAGAGCAUCGUGAGGAAAAGAGACAACAAACAAAAUCCAAGAGCUCAACGGAGGGGUUCAGAUCCCAGCUCUCCACACCGGCGGGGGGGCCUUGAGCAAGUCACUUAGCUUGCCGGUUCUCCACUUUUUCUUCUUUUUUAGACGGAGUCUCGCCCUGUCGCCCAAGCUGGAGUGCAGUGGCGCGAUCUCGGCUCACUGCAAGCUCCGCCUCCCGGGUUCACGCCAUUCUCCUGCCUCAGCCUCCCGAGUAGCUGGGACUACAGGCACCCGCCACCACGCCCGGCUAAGUUUUUUUUUUUUCUUUUUCUUCAGUAGAGACGGGGUUUCACCGUGUUAUCCAGGUCUUGAUCUCCUGACCUCAUGAUCCGCCCGCCUCGGCCUCCCAAAGUGCUGGGAUUACAGGCGUGAGCCACCGCGCCCGGCCCACUUUUCCCUCUUAUAAAUUAGGCAUGAUGGUGACAUUCUCACGCCGCAUAGUGCUGUUAUGAGCAUUUAAGCAUCACAAUGUGUAAGGGACUUGGAAAAGUGUGUGGCACCGAGACUUUAUUAAGGCCAAAUAAGAAACAAAGAGGAGUCUUCAUUGAGUCUUUCAGUGAUGUCAUUUUUAUCACUGAGGUAGAGGGAAUCUUCCAGUAGAUAUCCUGGGAUACAGACGAGAUGGCUCAUGAUCAACAAAACCAUAAAAACCUAAACAAUCUGUGUCAAGUGCAACUUUGUCAUGAUCAACAAAACCAUAGAAAACGUAAACAACCUAUGUAAAGAGCAGCUACUUGGAUCCCGAGGAAGAAGUGAAUGUAACAUGCUCCACUGUUUCUAUGAACAUCUGAACCUGAGCUCCAAUAGCCGCCUCUUGUUAUCUCCUAUGGGCGGCCACUGCCCUUAAUAGGGUUUGAGUUCACUGGGUAGAACUAUAAGGAAAGAGAAAGGAGUUUCAAAUAUGGGGGUAUGGGUGAUACAGUAAAUAGAGAUUUGAAUUUGA